rnacentral:rRNA from 1 species
UACAGAGGAUGCAAGCGUUAUCCGGAAUUAUUGGGCGUAAAGAGUCCGUAGGGGGCUAAUCAAGUCUGUCGUUAAAGACCGCAGCUUAACUGCGGGCAAGCGAUGGAAACUGAAGAGCUAGAGAGCAGUAGGGGCAGAGGGAAUUCCCAGUGUAGCGGUGAAAUGCGUAGAGAUUGGGAAGAACAUCGGUGGCGAAAGCGCUCUGCUGGGCUGAAUCUGACCCUGAGGGACGAAAGCUAGGGGAGCAAAAGGG